rnacentral:rRNA from 1 species
CGACGNAAGNGUAACCCGNUGAAGANUCGGACCGCCCUGGGGAGUGACGGCCGNNCANGGCNUAAAAANUCANAGGGAAUUUGANUGGGGGACCCGCCNAANGCCGGCGGGNANUAAGNUGGAAUCAANUCGAAUGNCAACGCGNAAACACCCUUACCUACCCNUUGGACAUGGUCNGAGAAGGGUGGNGGGAGAUUCCAGNCUGUGCCCCGANCNGGCGAAUUCGGAACNACAAGGUGCGUGCAUGGCCUGUCGAUCAGGCUGCGUGUCGUGAGAUGUUGGGUUAAGUCCNGCNACGGGCGNCAACCCCUUGUCANUAGNUGCUACAUUUAGUUGGGCACUCUAAUGAGANUGCCCGGUGACAAACCCGGAGGAAGGUGGGGAUGACGUCCAAGUCCUCAUGGCCCUUAUGGGUAGGGCUUCACACGUAAUACAAUGGCGCGUACAGAGGGUUGCNCAAGGAGCGAUCUGGAGCCAAUCCCGCAAAGCGCGUCGUAGUCCGGAUUGGAGUCUGCAACUCGACUCCAUGAAGUCGGAAUCGCUAGUAAUCGCGGAUCAGCAUGUCGCGGUGAAUACGUUCCCGGGUCUUGUACACACCGCCCGUCACACCAUGGGAGUGGGUUUCACCAGAAGCCGGUCGCCUAACCGCCAAGGAGGGCGCCGACCACGGUGAGANUCAUGACUGGGGUGAAGUCGUAANCAAGGUACC